rnacentral:rRNA from 1 species
GAGAUGUGUGAUGACGCAUAUCAAUAAGCGGAGGAAAAGAAACUAACUAGGAUUCCCUCAGUAACGGCGAGUGAAGCGGGAAGAGCUCAAAUUUGAAAUCUUCAAGGUUCUACCUUGACGAAUUGUAGUUUAAAGAAGUGUUUUCUGUUGGAGUUUUGGUAAAAGUUCUUUGGAAUAGGACAUCAUAGAGGGUGAGAAUCCCGUAUUUGACCAUUAUUUCCAGCUGUGUGAUACACUUUCAAAGAGUCGGAUUGUUUGGGAAUGCAGUCCAAAAUGGGUGGUAAAUUUCAUCUAAAGCUAAAUAUUGGCGAGAGACCGAUAGCGAACAAGUACCGUGAGGGAAAGAUGAAAAGAACUUUGAAAAGAGAGUUAAACAGUACGUGAAAUUGUCAAAAGGGAAGCGUUUGACACCAGUGUUGUUUUUCCGAAAAUCAAUUACGAAUGUUUUGUUUUUGAGGAGUUAUGACUUCAUCGGCUUGCUUCUCUCUUUACGAAACUUUCUUAAUGCACUUUUCGGUUAACAAGUCAACAUCAAUUUCUUUUGUUGUAAAAGGGUAUGAGGAAGGUGGCUUUCUUUUCGGAGAAAGUGUUUAUAGCCUUGUACCUCUGCAAUCGGAGAGAUUGAGGUCUGCAGCGUAGAUCCUUCGGGGUUAGAUACAUUUGUGCUAAGUUAUAGCUUUUCAUAGACAACUUGUUGACUAUGUUAAGUCUUGUAGCUUACUCGCUUAUGCUAUUUUACCUACGCUUAGGAUGUUGAAGAUGUAGCACAUCAU